CGGGGAUAACAGGCUGAUGACUCCCAAGCGUCCAUAGCGACGGAGUUGUUUGGCACCUCGAUGUCGACUCAUCGCAUCCUGGGGCUGGAGCAGGUCCCAAGGGUAUGGCUGUUCGCCAUUUAAAGCGGUACGUGAGUUGGGUUCAGAACGUCGUGAGACAGUUCGGUCCCUAUCUGCCGUGGGUGUAGGAAUAUUGAGAGGAUCUGUCCCUAGUACGAGAGGACCGGGAUGGACGUAUCUCUGGUGGACCUGUUGUGGCGCCAGCCGCAUAGCAGGGUAGCUAUAUACGGAACGGAUAACCGCUGAAGGCAUCUAAGCGGGAAACCGACCUCAAAACGAGUAUUCCCUGAGAGCCGUGGUAGACGACCACGUUGAUAGGCCGGGUGUGGAAGAGCGGCAACGCUUGAAGCUUACCGGUACUAAUAACUCGAUUGGCUUGAUUGUUCUCAUU
rnacentral:rRNA from 1 species